rnacentral:tRNA from 1 species
GACCAUGUAGCUCAAAUGGAUAGAGCACCAGCCUCCUAAGCUGGGUGUUGACGGUUCAAACCCGUUCUUGGUCG